CCUACGGGAGGCAGCAGUGAGGAAUAUUGGUCAAUGGACGCAAGUCUGAACCAGCCAAGUAGCGUGCAGGAUGACGGCCCUCCGGGUUGUAAACUGCUUUUAGGUGGGAAUAAAAGGGGGCUCGUGAGCCCCGUAUGGUAUGUACCAUCAGAAAAAGGACCGGCGAAUUCCGUGCCAGCAGCCGCGGUAAUACGGAAGGUACGGGCGUUAGCCGGAUUUAGUGGGUUGAAAGGGAGCGUAGGCCGGCUUUUAAGUCAGCUGUGAAAGUCCGCGGCUCAACCGUGGAAUGGCAGUUGAAACUGGUGGCCUUGAGUGCACACCGUGAUGCCUGAAUUCAUGGUGUAGCGGUGAAAUGCUUAGAUAUCCUG
rnacentral:rRNA from 1 species